rnacentral:lncRNA from 1 species
CAACCUUAAGGUAAGGUCGUGGGUCCGACAAUGGCUUAACUGCGUCAAGUGGUACUACAUGGUUGCAGUAUCUCCAGGCGUAACCAUCCAGGAUCUCUUAGACGCACCAUUCGUGAACCGGAAAUGGCAGGUUGAAUCGACUCUCAGUUGGUCCGGUUCGGCCUUGUCUGGAAGGUUUUUUAUUUUGUUGCCCUAAGGCGUUUGGCCUGUUAAGCCAAUGUCCUAGUCGCUGCAGCGAUUACGGAUACCUCUCAGGUCAGGCAUCUCUACUCUGUGAGUCCGCGCAGCUUUCUUUAUGUUUUGUGAGUUGACUCCUUAUGCUAGAGCCAAC